UCUGCAGACACACAAGCCAGAGA
rnacentral:miRNA from 1 species